rnacentral:ncRNA from 2 species
UACGGAGGGUGCAAGCGUUGUCCGGAUUUAUUGGGUUUAAAGGGUGCGUAGGCGGAUUAUUAAGUCAGUGGUGAAAGUUUGCGGCUCAACCGUAAAAGUGCCAUUGAUACUGGUAGUCUUGAGUACAGUAGAGGUAGGCGGAAUUUAUGGUGUAGCGGUGAAAUGCAUAGAUACCAUAAAGAACACCGAUAGCGAAGGCAGCUUACUAUACUGAGACUGACGCUGAGGCACGAAAGCGUGGGGAGCGAACAGG